UACGAGGGGUGCAAGCGUUGCUCGGAAUUAUUGGGCGUAAAGGGUAGGUAGGUGGUCUCAUUUGUCUGGGGUGAAAGCCUUGAGCUUAACUCAAGAAGUGCCCCGGAAACGGUGAGACUAGAGUCUUGGAGAGGGUCGUGGAAUUCCCGGUGUAGCGGUGAAAUGCGUAGAGAUCGGGAGGAACACCAGAGGCGAAGGCGGCGACCUGGACAAGUACUGACACUCAACUACGAAAGCGUGGGGAGCAAACAGG
rnacentral:rRNA from 1 species